rnacentral:misc_RNA from 1 species
GUGAAUCAUCAAAUUUUUGAACGCAAAUUGCGCCUUUUUCGGUAGGCAUGUCUGUUUGAGGUCACCAUUUAACAAAUAAUGUGCAUCGUUUUUUGUUGCACACUUUGAUUAUCUUUCUAAGAAUUUUAUCUUUUUGGUGUCGCAUAAUGAACAGCGUGAAUGUUUUGUUCAGUUCGAGUGUAUUAAAAUCUUUGCUUUUCUUUUGAAAAAACAUAAUCGCGCAAUGGGUGUGGCAAUUUCUUUUUAUCCCUGCCCCAAUUGCACUCUUUCUCACGGAAGAACGUCUAAUCUUCAGGUCCU